rnacentral:lncRNA from 1 species
UUCUGCAAGUGAUCCUUAGACCUGAGAUCACUAUGAAAUCUUGUGCACAUGAAACCAUAUUUUUGUUCAUACCUAGCAUGGCAUUAAGAUAUAUACGGGGUAUUCUGGAUAUGGUGAAGUGUGUAUGAAGGUUAUGAGUAAGUCAAUAUGGAAUCGAUCACUUCUAGUAAGAGGAGAUCGCAUCCUAUGUAUUCUCAAUCCUAAAUGACUCGAAAAAAAUCUUUGGGCCA